UUCGGGGUGAUUGCUUUGUGACUGAGUGGCGGACGGGUGAGUAACGCGUGGGUAACCUGCCUCAUACAGGGGGAUAACAGCUGGAAACGGCUGCUAAUACCGCAUAAGCGCACAGCUUCGCAUGAAGCAGUGUGAAAAACUCCGGUGGUACAAGAUGGACCCGCGUCUGAUUAGCUGGUUGGAGGGGUAACGGCCCACCAAGGCGACGAUCAGUAGCCGGUCUGAGAGGAUGAACGGCCACAUUGGUACUGAGACACGGACCAAACUCC
rnacentral:rRNA from 1 species